rfam:Chlorocebus sabaeus isolate 1994-021 chromosome 25, whole genome shotgun sequence.
GCCCAGAGAGUUCAGUCAGUAGAGCAUCAGGCUUUUAAUCUGAAGGUCCAGGGUUCAAGUCCCUGUUCGGGAG